rnacentral:snRNA from 11 species
GUAUUUGCGCAGAGGUAGUAUCGUACCAAAUGAGGUUAAUCAGAGGUGGGAUUAUUGGUAGUUGAAAACUCCUCCCAAGUAGGGUUGGCGACAGGAUGGCAACCGGCCCUAAAAACUUAAGCCAAAACUUUAAGGUUUUUAAAACCUUGUAUGCCGAUUCCACAUGAGUGGG